rnacentral:rRNA from 1 species
GACGUAGGGGGCCAGCGUUGUUCGGAAUUACUGGGUGUAAAGGGUUCGUAGGCGGUGCGGCAAGUCGGGAGUGAAAUCUCUGGGCUUAACCCAGAGGCUGCUUCCGAAACUGCUGUGCUUGAGUGUGGGAGAGGCGCGUGGAAUUGCAGGUGUAGCGGUGAAAUGCGUGGAUAUCUGCAGGAACACCCGUGGCGAAAGCGGCGCGCUGGACCACUACUGACGCUGAGGAACGAAAGCUAGGGGAGCAAACAGG